UACAGAGGGUGCGAGCGUUGUCCGGAAUCACUGGGCGUAAAGGGCGCGUAGGCGGCUGGGUAAGUAGGGGGUGAAACGCUGCGGCUCAACCGCAGCACUGCCUUCUAGACUGCCCGGCUCGAGCAUGGUAGAGGCUGGUGGAAUUCCCGGUGUAGCGGUGGAAUGCGUAGAUAUCGGGAGGAACAUCGGUGGCGAAGGCGGCCAGCUGGGCCAUUGCUGACGCUGAGGCGCGAAAGCGUGGGGAGCAAACAGG
rnacentral:rRNA from 1 species